GCCCGGGUGGCGGAAUGGUAGACGCCGGGGACUUAAAAUCCCCUCUCUUCGGGGGUGCGGGUUCGAGUCCCGCCCCGGGCACC
rnacentral:tRNA from 1 species